GCAAUCUGUGUAGAUCAACCUUCAAGCGACGUUUCUUUCUCGAUCUUGUCGAUCUGCGCGUUCUGGUCGGUUGGCUUGGUUCUUUGGUCCAGCCGCUGACUGCUUCUGAAGAUUAUUGGGGGCUGCCUCUUCUGCGCUGAGAGAAAAAAAAGGUCCUGGUUUCUGAGGAUUUCACAAGAAUCAGGUGUGACUGUGCUGUGCUGUCUACUCCUGUCAAGGAUGUGCACCCUUGUGUCCGUUGUUAUUCCGAUUUUAGAGACCCUUCAGAACGAUGUG